rnacentral:lncRNA from 1 species
CUCUUACGAAGAAACCGUUCUACGGAAGCCCAGUUGAGACAACUUGAGACAGGAUUCAGAAACGCUGAUUUUAGUAACCUUAACCCUCGGCCUUUGGUGGGAACUUCGGCUCUGUGGGAAUUAGUCUUUGGGGGACUGAUGGUGAUGCUGAAAUCUUAUUGCGUAGGAAAUUAAGUACAACAAAGAAGACCCGUCGUGAGAGGAGAGUGCGGAAGAAAUGCGAAGUCUACGGGAGGUGGCAGCUGCAGAAGCUUGGUGUUGGAUUUGGAGUUAGGAGACCGGGAGGAGCCCAGCUUCCGGUCCAGACGGUUAUCUUGUUGACUUGCACGACUGCAAACGCCCUGAGCUGCUUUUGCAGUCUGAAACAUCAGCGAUCCCAUCAAAAUAUUCUGUUUCUUGGGAUAUAAGAAACAUCCCAAGGCGGGCUGUAGAGCGAGAGAUUUGGACUCGAUUUAAAUACAGACAAAAUAGUAUGCAUUUACUAACACCACAUCUCACCCCCACGAAACUUGGUAAGGGCAGCAACAGAACUUUAUCUGCCAUAUGCACUCCUGUAUUCCUAUUACCAAAUAGUGCCAGGGACUAAGUGAAUAUUUGCCCAAUGAAUGAGUUUUAAGUAGGAAACGUUUGCAUAGAAUCAUUUUGUUUCUUUUGGAGUUCAAAUCUUCGGAUAUUUUACCCUUCCCAAUCCAAAGAAAAGUCUCUGAGUGAAGAGAUGGGAACAAAAUCCAAGCCCAGCACAACAAUGGCACACAGCAGUUGCUGCCCAAGCCUGGGUGCUCCUGGUGGUCCUGCACGAUCGGCUGUGCAGUAGGCUUGUCAAGGAGAGGAUCCUCCCUGGCCUCUCCUUGGGCAGAGGAGGUGGUCCAUAAAGCUGCUCUGGAGCCAAAAUAUUGCAGUCACAUCUCGGCAGCGACCUGCCCUCAGGUGGCAUUUUCAAGUCAUGGAGAAGGUGGAGGAAGAAGAAGACAGAGCUCUUACCAGGGGGAGGCAGAGAUGGCACAGCAAGAGACAUGCCCCCAGAAUGCCACCAAUGCCCCAGGACAGGCCCACCCAUGGGACCAGGUUAUCAGGGGCCCUGUGGGGAUGGGGUGGAAUCUGAAGGGUGAGCCUUCAUCCCCAGGCUGGGAGUGGGUGAGACGAGACUGGGGCCUGUAUGUCUGAGUGCCCCCCAAACCCAGCAGUCAUGUUGCGAGGAAACGAAAUCACGUUACUUCUUCCAGCUGAUGUUCCACUUGUUUCUUCUGUUGUUUCUGUGGGGAGAGUCAAAUAAGGUGAUGGAGGGUGGCCCCCUCAACUCUAUUCCCCAGACCAGGAAGUGGUAGGCAGGGGCCAGGAAUGGAUUUUAAAGGCAAAGUUCUCAGACAUAAUGGGAACACGAACCGGUAAACUCUCCUCAAGCUCCCAAGGACAGAGGAUUUGGGUCUUUGUUGGCUUUUGCCCACAGCCACAGAACUCAAAGUCUGAAUCUGGAAUCUCUUGAGAGGACAGCAAUAUAAACCUCUAGAGAUGGAGUUUCAGAAAGGCCCCUCCUUCUGGCAACUUGUGAUUUAGAGAAGUGGGUUCAUUCAAUAAACAUUUACUGAGC